rnacentral:misc_RNA from 1 species
GAUGAAGAACGCAGCGAAAUGCGAUAAGUAAUGUGAAUUGCAGAACUCAGUGAAUCAUCGAAUCUUUGAACGCACAUUGCGCCCCCUGGAAUUCCGGGGGGCAUGCCUGUUCGAGCGUCUCAGGGACGAACCCUCGCGCGGGUGUACGCGCGGUCGUGGCUGCGGUGGCGUGCCCGAGGCGGCGGCCACCGCGCUGGAAUCCAUGGGCGGACGCCUGCCGCGUGGCCGAGCGUGAUAUGACGCAUUGGCGCUCGCACGCGGAGAGGCUGCCAGCCCUGGCCCGUCUGUCGGGCGGGGGAGAGCAAGACACGUGAACUCCUCGAAUCAGGUAGGGAUACCCGCUGAACUUAAGCAUAUCAAUAAGCGGAGGA